rnacentral:rRNA from 1 species
AGAGUUUGAUCCUGGCUCAGGAUGAACGCUAGCUACAGGCUUAACACAUGCAAGUCGAGGGGCAGCAUGUUGGUUGCUUGCAAUCAACGAUGGCGACCGGCGCACGGGUGAGUAACGCGUAUCGAACCUGCCUCAUACUCGGGAAUAGCCUUGCGAAAGUAAGAUUAAUGCCCGAUGUUCUUCAUUUUUCACAUGAGAGAUGAAGCAAAGAUUAAUCGGUAUGAGAUGGCGAUGCGUCCCAUUAGCUUGUUGGCGGGGUAACGGCCCACCAAGGCAUCGAUGGGUAGGGGUUCUGAGAGGAAGGUCCCCCACAUUGGAACUGAGACACGGUCCAAACUCCUACGGGAGGCAGCAGUGAGGAAUAUUGGUCAAUGGACGAAAGUCUGAACCAGCCAAGUAGCGUGCAGGAUGACGGCCCUCUGGGUUGUAAACUGCUUUUAGUUGGGAAUAAAGUGCACCACGUGUGGUGUUUUGUAUGUACCAUCAGAAAAAGGACCGGCUAAUUCCGUGCCAGCAGCCGCGGUAAUACGGAAGGUCCAGGCGUUAUCCGGAUUUAUUGGGUUUAAAGGGAGCGCAGGCGGACCUUUAAGUCAGCUGUGAAAUACGGCGGCUCAACCGUCGAACUGCAGUUGAUACUGGAGGUCUUGAGUGCACACAGGGAUACUGGAAUUCAUGGUGUAGCGGUGAAAUGCUCAGAUAUCAUGAAGAACUCCAAUCGCGAAGGCAGGUAUCCGGGGUGCAACUGACGCUGAGGCUCGAAAGUGCGGGUAUCAAACAGGAUUAGAUACCCUGGUAGUCCGCACAGUAAACGAUGAAUACUCGCGAUUUGCGAUACAGUGUAAGUCGCCAAGCGAAAGCGUUAAGUAUUCCACCUGGGGAGUACGCCGGCAACGGUGAAACUCAAAGGAAUUGACGGGGGCCC